UUCUCCUGGAAAACGGGUGGUAAUGCCGGAUGCUCCAUUUCAUUGCAUGGUGUUUUGGGAAAGCCUUUGCGGCAUGGGAUGGGGUCGCGUCCUAUCAGCUUGAUGGCGGGGUAACGGCCCACCAUGGCUUCGACGGGUAGCCGGCCUGAGAGGGCGACCGGCCACAUUGGGACUGAGAUACGGCCCAGACUCCUACGGGAGGCAGCAGUGGGGAAUAUUGCACAAUGGGCGCAAGCCUGAUGCAGCGACGCCGCGUGAGGGAUGGAGGCCUUCGGGUUGUAAACCUCUUUUGUUAGGGAGCAAGGCAUUUUGUGUUGAGUGUACCUUUCGAAUAAGCACCGGCUAACUACGUGCCAGCAGCCGCGGUAAUACGUAGGGUGCAAGCGUUAUCCGGAAUUAUUGGGCGUAAAGGGCUCGUAGGCGGUUCGUCGCGUCCGGUGUGAAAGUCCAUCGCUUAACGGUGGAUCCGCGCCGGGUACGGGCGGGCUUGAGUGCGGUAGGGGAGACUGGAAUUCCCGGUGUAACGGUGGAAUGUGUAGAUAUCGGAAAAGAACACCAAA
rnacentral:rRNA from 1 species